rnacentral:rRNA from 1 species
UACGUAGGGACCAAGCGUUGUCCGGAAUCAUUGGGCGUAAAGAGCGUGUAGGCGGCUUGUUAAGUCUUGCGUGAAAUCUCGGGGCUCAACCCCGAGCGGUCGUGAGAAACUGGCAGGCUAGAGUGCGGGAGAGGAGAGUGGAAUUCCUGGUGUAGCGGUGAAAUGCGCAGAUAUCAGGAAGAACACCCGUGGCGAAGGCGGCUCUCUGGAACGCAACUGACGCUGAGACGCGAAAGCGUGGGGAGGCAAACAGGG